UACAGAGGUCUCGAGCGUUGUUCGGAUUCAUUGGGCGUAAAGAGCUCGUAGGCGGUCUGUCGCGUCGGUCGUGAAAACUUGGGGCUUAACCCUGAGCUUGCGGUCGAUACGGGCAUGACUGGAGUUCGGCAGGGGAGACUGGAAUUCCUGGUGUAGCGGUGAAAUGCGCAGAUAUCAGGAGGAACACCGGUGGCGAAGGCGGGUCUCUGGGCCGAUACUGACGCUGAGGAGCGAAAGCGUGGGGAGCGAACAGG
rnacentral:rRNA from 1 species